GGGCAGGUGGCGGAACGGGAAUACGCGAGGGGCUUAAACCCCCUUGCCCGCCAGGGCUUGUGGGUUCGAAUCCCACCCUGCCCACCA
rnacentral:tRNA from 1 species